ensembl:lncRNA
CUGCAGUGGAAGCAGAGUCUUAACUACUGGACCAGCAGGGAAGUCCUUUGCUGCUGGCUUUUAUAAUCACUGUAUUUCUCCCAUCAGAGCACUCAAAUUUGUUUAACCUCAAAGUAAAAGUCAUGAAUGGUAAAUAUUUCCCAUGAUUCCAGCAGAGGGAAUUUAGUCUCUGUGUAGAACUUCCAUCAGGAGAGGUUCAGCUAUGAGACUUGACUCUUGGUUUGUCUCUGGUUGAAUGGGGCAGGAGAAGGGAAACUCCAGUAAUCUAAAACUCCUAUUUUCUCCGUAGUCAUCUUCCUUUGAAAUUCUUUAACUCAUUUUACCAGAACUUCUGGCAAGUAACAUGUUGACUCAUGAUAUUUUGUCACUUCCUUCCUCUGGCUCACCGCCAGUGAGAUGCUAAUGGGUUGUCAAAUGACCAAUAGGCGAGACGGGACAAAAGCAACGUCCCUCUAUAAAAACUCGCUUACCUGAACAUUAACAAUCAGAGACUUGAUUACCUGAGCAUUAACAAUCAGACUGGCUGAGACAAACUGAGACAGAGUUAAGCUGGAUGAAGAGAUGGCUCCUCCCUUGCAGGCCAGAGGUCAGGCUGACAGUCUGAACCUGUCAAGGAGGGGGAAGAAUGCCAUUCUAGGAAAAUAAGGCAAGUUGACGGUGAACUACCCAGAGAGCUGUAAUUAUGGGACUCCUGUCUGGCUUUUGGGGCUGCCUAGAGCAGAGUUCCAAAGAAUAGCAAGCAGAGAUAAGAAAGCCUUCCUCAGCGAUCAAUGUAAACAAAUAGAGGAAACAACACAAUGGGAAAGACUAGAGAUCUCUUCAAGAAAAUUAGAGAUACC